CUUUUUUUUAAAGGAUUCCUGCUCCCUAAAGUAUACAUACAAUGGUCAAAGUGGACCUUCAGGGGGCCGGGCAGGAGGUGGGCGGAGUCGCUCCGGAGUCCGGGCUAGAGAGAGCACUAGGUUCUGGAGAGGAGAGGGAAUUGAAGGGGUCUCGGGAAGAGAGGGGAGCGAAGGGGUCCCGGGAAGAGAGGGGAGCGAAGGGGUCUCGGGAAGAGAGGGGAGCGAAGGGGUCCCGGGAAGAGAGGGGAGCGAAGGGGUCCCGGGAAGAGAGGGGAGCGAAGGGGUCUUGGGAAGAGAGGGGAGCGAAGGGGCUGGGGUCUCAGUCACAAGCUGUGUAUUUUGAAGUGUUCACGCCCCCUUAUGUCAUGUCUAGUUGUACUUCCUGUCUGUGUGUUUUCCUCUGUGAUUGUUGAUUUGUUCCUCCUGUGUCCGUUCACCUUGCCCUUGUGUUUUAGCUUCUCUCCCCAGCUGUGUCUCGUUCCCCUCGUUUAGUGUCUGUGGGUAUAUAUCCCUGUCUUUCCCAGUGUUCCUUGUCAGAUCGUCAUCCAUGUGUCACUCUUGUUUGUUGAUGGUUCCUCGUGCCUCCUUGUGCUCCCCGUGUCAUCCUGGUUUGUCUUUUCAGUUUACUUUUUCCCUUUUGUAUUUUUGUUAUUUUAUAAGCUUUUUGAAUAAAGCCCUCUUUUUGUUAACUUCCUCGUCUGCCGUCUUGCAUUUGAGUUCUCACCUUUUCCCCACCGUGACAGUGGCCCAGUCUUCCAGCCACUCCAUUUCCCAAGGUCCUUUGCACCUGGCUAAAACUUCUAACAGCCAAGCGUCUGGCCCGGGCCUGAAUCUGGGCAUGAACCUCGUCUUCAUUGUUGGCUGCCUCCUGGGAUGCGGAGUGGUGAUCUACCGUUCAAGGAGGUCCCAAGUUAAAUACCAACUCCUGCCAAACUCUGAGACAGACUAAAGACAGAGACACCAUUUUGAUACACAUACAAGAUUCUCAGUUACAGUGUAAUAUUUGUAGGUUAUGUUUUGGGGUAUAAGUGGUGAAUCAUUGUCACACAGUCCACAAUGUGAAAAGAUGGAAGUUACUUAUAUAGAGUGAGACGGCAUUAAGUGUGUGAGAAUGAAAAGUGUUGGAUGUGUCUUUGCAUUUCUGGUGAAAGAUGAAGUUCUUGAAGUUUGAUCCAUGAAGACAAAUGAAUCUGGCAACAAUAUAGAUCUUUUAAGAGCAUUUAUCAAACAUCAACAUCAAAGCACUAUAUAUGAAGGAGUCAUAAAUCUCAUAGUUUCAAUACCGGGACCAGAAGAUGUGGAUAUAACCAGCAUGUUUGUGUCACUGAUUGUUUCUCAUCAACACAUUUCUUUAUGACACUGACUGCUUACUGUUUUGAUGUUUUGUCCAAUGCUAUUGUGUUUGCACUAAGCUUUACUAUUCAAAUUUCAACAUUACAUUACAGGUCAUUUAGAGGAUGCUCUCAUCCAGAGCGACUUACAGUGAACUAAGUACAGGGACAGUCUCCCUGGAGCAGCUCAGGGGUACAAUGGUGGCAGCCAGUUUUGUUUGGAAGGCGUACCACUAGACCACUAGGCCAUCACCACCCACAUUAGGUCAGAGUUUUCUGAGAAAGUAGUACACAGUGCAACGUGUUACAUGUACUGUAACCAGAAAUAAUGAACAUUUGAUCUUUCAUGUAAAGUCACAAACAGUGAACAGAACUUUUGCCCCAAAAUGAUGAAAAACAAAUCAGCAACAAAGUAAAAACGUUUGGCAGUUCAGUAAAAACAAACAAAUAGUCCCUCCUCACUUAUAGAUAGUUAUGGUAUAUACAUGCAUGAUCAACAAAUGGUAUUUGUGCAAAUGUUCUUGAAAUAAUGAAAAUGAAAAGUUAUUGUGAUUAACAAAAAUGAUUCAGUGUUUUCACACACAAAAAAAUUUCAAUCAAGAAUUGAGCCAAACGCGAAUCAGAAAAACUGAAAGGAAUUUGUGCUGUAAAAAUAAACGUGUUAAGUGAGGCAACGUCACGAUCUUGUUGUACUUGCUUCCUGUUUUAUUUUGAAAUGUUCACUCCCCCUUGUAUCAUGUCUUUUGUUACUUCCUGUCCUUUUUCUUCCCUCCCUCUGUGAUUGUUGCUUUGAUCCUCCUGUGUCCAUCCGCCCUACCCUUGUCUUUGCCUUUCUCCUCCUGCUUUGUCUCAUUUCUGUGAUUAGUGUCUGUGUGUAUAUAUAUCCCUGUCUGUCUCAGUGUUCCUUGUCGGUUCGUCAUCCAUGUUAAGCCCUUCUUACUUGAUGUUUUUGCGUGCCUCCCCGUGCUCCCUCGUGUCAUCCUGGUUUGUGUUUUCAGUAGUGAUGGCGAGAUGAAGCUUCAUGAAGCAUUCCCUCCAAUUGGUUCACUUAUGGGCCGAAGCUUCAUGGUGCUUCAUUUUCUCUACUGUGUCAUCAAGUGGACAAUAAAUGUAAAACAGGCAGAUGUUGUCUCUCAACCAUGUGAUCUUUGAUAUACUAUGUUGUGUGACAUUAGUGUAUUCGUGCGCAGUUACGGGAAAUCAAAUGACUGCAUCUGUUAUUUUUGUUAUUUUGCUCAUUCAUUGAAUAUUUCUAGACUCUUAUGGGGUUUUUAAAUCGGGGAAAUUAAGAGCUAAAAACUACAGAUUCUAUUCUUCGAUUGUGUGUGUGAAAGAAAUCCAGCUGCUGCCAGCUGACUCGGUGGGGGGGCGACUACAGAAUGAUCACGUUGCAAUAAUGUGCAGUAACUUAAACUAGUUAGUCACAUGUUGUGAACUUUUUAUCUUGUCCAUCCACAAUAAUCUGAAUCGAUAUGAAGACAUAACAAAACAACAAAGCACAGACGUGUCAAACAUGGCUUUUUUUGUUUUUGUUUCCAUCACAUUAUUUGUGCUAUUCAGAUUCGGGAACUUCCCCAACCACAACUCACUUCAAUGCUUUCACUACUGACACUUCGAAAGCUCUCAGGUUUCAGGUUUUCAGCUUUACAAAAAAUAAAAUCAAACUCUAUCUCCCACAACCUUCACUGUUGAUACCCAAUUGAUUUUAUUUUUAUUGUUCAUAAACUUAUAGCUCCCUCUUCACCCGACAUCGUUCAGUUAAUACACAUGAACUGGUAUUUUCAGGACUUCACGUACAUUUUCCUCUCAUGUCUUCUAGUUGGUUCUUUCGUGCCUCAAUUAUGCAACUUAGGCUAUUUCUUUUAAUAUUUCUUUAUGAGUAUGCAAUCACAUGCAGACCAGUGUCAUUGUGAUUUGUGAUAUGACUUUUGUUUGUGUCAUGUGUGGCG
rnacentral:lncRNA from 1 species